rfam:Gammaproteobacteria bacterium RBG_16_51_14 RBG_16_scaffold_21514, whole genome shotgun sequence.
CCUUGCCGUUCUGUUUAUAAUCGAUAGCGAAAAGCGCACAUGGAAGUGCGCUUUAGCCCACUGGAUCAGGGAUGAGUCCUGUGGGCGACGCGUAAGCGAUUAUGAACAGAACGGGGAGUCGUAGACC